AUUGAACGCUGGCGGCAGGCCUAACACAUGCAAGUCGAACGGUAACAGGAAGCAGCUUGCUGCUUUGCUGACGAGUGGCGGACGGGUGAGUAAUGUCUGGGAAACUGCCUGAUGGAGGGGGAUAACUACUGGAAACGGUAGCUAAUACCGCAUAACGUCGCAAGACCAAAGAGGGGGACCUUAGGGCCUCUUGCCAUCGGCUGUGCCCAGAUGGGAUUAGCUAGUAGGUGGGGUAACGGCUCACCUAGGCGACGAUCCCUAGCUGGUCUGAGAGGAUGACCAGCCACACUGGAACUGAGACACGGUCCAGACUCCUACGGGAGGCAGCAGUGGGGAAUAUUGCACAAUGGGCGCAAGCCUGAUGCAGCCAUGCCGCGUGUAUGAAGAAGGCCUUCGGGUUGUAAAGUACUUUCAGCGGGGAGGAAGGGAGUAAAGUUAAUACCUUGGCUCAUUGACGUUACCCGCAGAAGAAGCACCGGCUAACUCCGUG
rnacentral:rRNA from 1 species